CAUGGUUUGAUGAGCAGUGCCAUGUCAGCGCCCAGGAUUCGAACCAAGGAAACACUGGGCCGCCUGCAGCGGAGCACGAGAAGUUAACCACUUGGCCACGGGGCCAGCCCCAGGAGACCUGUGAUUUUUAUGACUCAAUAUCCAAAGUUACCAUGGAGUACAUAGCUGUAUACUUUAGCCGUGGACCCUUCCAGUUGGGACAUGUGGGACGCCGCCCCAGUGUGGCCCGAUGAGAGGUGCCAUGUCUGUGCCCAGGAUCUGAACCGGUGAAACCCUGGGCCGCUGAAGCGGAGCAUGUGAACUCAACCACCCGGCCACAGGGCCAGCCUCCUGAGCUGUUGCUGUUUUAAAUAGCAGAUUCCAUGAAUGUGUUCUUGCCUGCUUGUGGACUUGGAUUAUCAACAUGACAGAAGGUGAGGGGAGGGUAAGCUUAAAGUUAUGUGGCAUUGAGUAAUAACCAAAUGAAUGUUUAUCAGAAGAAGAGAUAAGGGACUCCGAAAUGAGACCUCAAUAGAUAUUUACAAUGCAGAUUUCAUAAACCAUUACUGAGUGCUUCCCAUGUCCCAGGCCCUGGCCUUUCUCAUUGCAUACAAUCUUCAGGUCAGCCCUUGAGUUCAGCUCCAUUUUAGAGGAGGAAGUUGAAGUUUAGAGAAGUUGAGAGAUUGCCCAAGAUCACAAAGCUUGUAAAUUGCAAAGACAGAAUUCAAAUAAUCCCAAGUCUAUUUCUUCAUUAUAGUAAACGAAUUAGAAGCCAGUGAUUCAACUUACACACACACCACAUUUAUUUCACGGAGAACCUUUCAGGAAUGUAGACCAAUGGUCAGAAAUUGUGAAACUUUAAAUUGGGCCAGUUCAUUUUGCAGUUGUAGAUUGACGCGAGAUAAAAAAAAAAAUACUCCUCCCACAGCCAUCCACAUCUCCCUCUGCCUGGGUUGCUGUUUGUUGGUGAGAGCACUACUCCAAAGAUAGAAGAGACCCUUUCUUUCACAAUUAGAGCCCUUUUUAUACCAGGUUAGCUCCAGAGGAGCCAGGCAACUCUUAAAAUCUUUGACUUCAGUUCAUUUAUAACACAAGAGUGGAAGUUGCUGGAAAAAUUUUUUGUUUUUGAUUUUUCUUCUUCCUUUGUGUCUUAAACAGAGACUAGAGGUCAUCCUUCAGGACAGUUGAUCCCAGUAUGAUUUUGGUGAGCUUGGGGGGAAAAGGAAAGGAGACUAUGUCCUUAAUUCAUAAGAGGGUUACUUAAAACUUUCCCCUCAUUUUCAGUAGGGAAAACCAGGAUCGGUGCCUUCAGAGAACAAAAGGAUAUUUGCUUGGGGUUCUUCAAGGGAGUUCAGUAAAGGGAUCAAAGAGGAGUCAUGAAAAAAUAAUUGAGUUGAAAGGCAGUUGGAAGUGACCUAAAGAUCAUUUUGUGAUUAUAUGUUUUUACAGCUUUAUUGAAGUAUAAUUGACAUACAAUAAAAUGCCUAUAAAGUA